UGGGGAAUUUUGCACAAUGGGGGAAACCCUGAUGCAGCGACGCCGCGUGAUUUAGAAGGCCUUCGGGUUGUAAAAAUCUUUUCUAUGGGAAGAAAAUGACAGUACCAUAGGAAUAAGGACCGGCUAAUUACGUGCCAGCAGCCGCGGUAAUACGUAAGGUCCGAGCGUUGUACGGAAUCAUUGGGCGUAAAGGGUACGUAGGCGGGUAAGCAAGUUAGAAGUGAAAUCCUAUAGCUCAACUAUAGUAAGCUUUUAAAACUGCUCAUCUUGAGGUAUGGAAGGGAAAGUGGAAUUCCUAGUGUAGCGGUGAAAUGCGCAGAUAGUAGGAGGAAUACCGGUGGCGAAGGCGACUUUCUGGCCAUAACCUGACGCUGAGGUACGAAAGCGUGGGUAGCAAACAGG
rnacentral:rRNA from 1 species